UCACUUGCAUGAAAGGCGCCUUUUUGACUCCACGCUGGUGAUGGAGAAGAAAGGGGAUAUAAAGAAGACUGAGAUCAAAUUCCUGUCUUCAAGAAAUAUAUAAUCUAUAGAGGAGUUAAGAGUACGAAAACUUUACUGAGGGAGACGGCUUCUGAAAGACAGGAGGGGACUGGAAGCUGAGGUCGGCUGGAUAGAAGGGUCACGCCCCGGACGGAAUCGAGCCUGCUGGCUGGGAAGGCCCUCUUGGAGGC